UUAAAGCUGAGGAUAUAAUUAAUAAAAACAGUUCUAAUCCACCCGAACAAGCCAGAACGUCGCUGGUAGCCUUACAUGGUGAUAUUGAUUAUCAUAUAGAUUUGCCUGAAGCUAAUGCCUACCUACGUUGCGGGUUUUUUACUUUUCAAAUGUUCUAAAAAACACCCAAGUUGCCAAGAAAUGUUUAAAAUGCUUGACUCUUCACUGGAUUUGGACUAUACAAGGUUUACUCACUACAAUACUUAUAAUAAAAGUAAAUCGUUUUAUGGAAAUCUAAAGACGCCUUCUCAGAAAUGAACGAGUACGUUCAAAAAUUAGAGAUUGCAUUUACACACAAUUUUAAGCACUAUUUACACCAAAAUCCUGGAAGUGAAAUAUUUAAAUUAGGUACUGCAAGAGAUUCAAUUACCAACAUUGCCAUGUUCGUGUUUCCCUGUGGACUAUUUAUUAAUAUUGUUCGUGAGACUAUCGACUCUUGAGAUUUAAUAAUCUAAAUUUUAAAUUGGAGAAAAAAUCAAUUAAUCAAUACUUAAAAGUAAAACAAUUAUAAGAUAAUUUUGUAAUAAACACAUUUGAUUAUUGUAC